UUGAAAGGGAAACGAUUGAAGUCAGUCGUACCAGCGGGAAAUCAACCUUUCGAGUGGGGGUUUGGAGUUUUUUGAAGAGUGUCAAAACCUUUGAGAUUUCAAAAUAUUCGCUCUUUUGGUGUACUUUCUCGUGGGUAGGUUAACAUCGAUUUUGAUCAUCAUAAAAAGAUUGGAGGAAUGUAGCUUCGAUCUUGUAUUGAAGUGUUAUAGCCUUUGGUAAAUGUGAUGAUUAGGAUCGAGGAUUGCAACGAAUACCCUUUUGGGCUAUCCGCCUGAUCUCUGAUACGUGGCCUUGGUAUCGAAAGCGUGCUUAUGGUAUUGAGGUAUUACGGUCAAAAGGUUAGAACGGAUUACAUUCGUUAAGGAUGUUGACGUA
rnacentral:rRNA from 1 species